UACGAAGGGGGCUAGCGUUGUUCGGAAUCACUGGGCGUAAAGCGUAUGCAGGCGGGUCGUUAAGUCAGGGGUGAAAUCCCGAGGCUCAACCUCGGAACUGCCUUUGAUACUGGCGAUCUUUGAGUCCGGGAGAGGUGAGUGGAACUGCGAGUGUAGAGGUGAAAUUCGUAGAUAUUCGCAAGAACACCAGUGGCGAAGGCGGCUCACUGGCCCGGUACUGACGCUGAGAUACGAAAGCGUGGGGAGCAAACAGG
rnacentral:rRNA from 1 species